UUUGUAUAAUGGGUCAGCGACUUAUAUUCUGUAGCAAGGUUAACCGAAUAGGGGAGCCGAAGGGAAACCGAGUCUUAACUGGGCGUUAAGUUGCAGGGUAUAGACCCGAAACCCGGUGAUCUAGCCAUGGGCAGGUUGAAGGUUGGGUAACACUAACUGGAGGACCGAACCGACUAAUGUUGAAAAAUUAGCGGAUGAGUUGUGGUUAGGGGUGAAA
rnacentral:ncRNA from 1 species